CGCGGCCGCAGAGUUUGAUCAUGGCUCAGAUUGAACGCUGGCGGCAGGCUUAACACAUGCAAGUCGAGCGGGGGAGAUUGCUUCGGUAAUUGACCUAGCGGCGGACGGGUGAGUAAUACUUAGGAAUCUGCCUAUUAAUGGGGGACAACAUCUCGAAAGGGAUGCUAAUACCGCAUACACCCUACGGGGGAAAGCAGGGGAUCACUUGUGACCUUGCGUUAAUAGAUGAGCCUAAGUCGGAUUAGCUAGUUGGUGGGGUAAAGGCCUGCCAAGGCGACGAUCUGUAGCGGGUCUGAGAGGAUGAUCCGCCACACUGGGACUGAGACACGGCCCAGACUCCUACGGGAGGCAGCAGAGGGGAAUAUUGGACAAUGGGGGGAACCCUGAUCCAGCCAUGCCGCGUGUGUGAAGAAGGCCUUAUGGUUGUAAAGCACUUUAAGCGAGGAGGAGGCUCCUGUAGUUAAUACCUACAGUGAGUGGACGUUACUCGCAGAAUAAGCACCGGCUAACUCUGUGCCAGCAGCCGCGGUAAUACAGAGGGUGCGAGCGUUAAUCGGAUUUACUGGGCGUAAAGCGUGCGUAGGCGGCUUUUUAAGUCGGAUGUGAAAUCCCCGAGCUUAACUUG
rnacentral:rRNA from 1 species